UAUCUUUUUUUUGCCGCCAUAGAGGCUUAUAUAGAUUCCUGUCGGCGCAAGCCGGCUAUGGCGAUAAAUAGCCUUCGUAAUAAACCAUUCGGACCCGGGGGCGGUACCCGGCGCCUCCACCACUCAGAAGCCUGAGGUCAGAAGCCAGAUCAAACGUUUAAGACAUAUCCGGUUCCUGGCUUGUGAUUUCCGGUUUUCUGAAAUGGGGGCGAAAUAGGAUCGACGAGGGUGUAAAGGUCGUGCUUUCGCCCGGCAUGGUUCCGCCGUUAUCGGGCCAACCAUAUAGUUGCCAAUGACAACUAUGCGGAGGCUAUCGCUGCGUAAGCGGCGCGACGCCUAAACCUCAAGUCCUAUCCUCUUCGCAGGGGCUAGGCGCGGUUUCGGAGGGCACCGGGCAACAGAAGCCCUCCACU
rnacentral:tmRNA from 1 species